AUAAUUUUUAGAUGUAUUAGUUUUAUUUUUUUUGAAUUACUGUAAUAAAAGGCUAAAAAUUGUACCAUAUUUAAAGGAUACCUAGUUGAACCGAUAUUAUAGAGAAGAAAGAAUAAACAUUAGUAUGUUAUAUCCAUUUCAUUUUAACUAAUUGGAUCCAAGACUAAAAUAACACAGCUUUAUGGAUUUGCACCCACCAUCACAUUGUUAGAAAUUCUUCUUUUGGUAUGUCAAUCCUCUCAUCACUAACACUUCACAUAUGCCAAUAUAAAUUUUUUCAAAAGAUGUUUUGAGUUCUUUAUUUAUUAGCUGGAAUAAAAAGGAUUUGUUUUUGAAAAUUCUGUAAGAGAUAAUUUUGGAUUAAUGAAGAUCAUCAAGUUAUGCAAAAAAUAAUUCUGUAAGAGAAUUUUUUGCUGAAAUGUGAACAUGAGUCGUGGGGUUGUGCAUGUCUUUGGUUUAAGGGAGGCUUACCCUUCAAAAGCAGUGCGAACUGAGUUACUUUGAGCAUACUUUCGAAUACUGGUAAAUGGUAACUAAGAGCUUUGUCCCUCUCUUUUGCUUCUAUAAGAAAAAAUUAAAGAGAGAAAAAAAAAACAAAGAAGGCUCUAUUUUGUGCAUACUUUCAGGUAAAAUGUUUUUGUUAAAGCUGUUCAUCUUGGAUUGUUUCUGAUGUUACAUCAUUAAUGCUAUUAACUAUGUUUAUAUUAUAUGGAUUAAUGCUGUGGAUUACAAAUUUUUUGAGUGUCAAAUUUUUUUAUUUUCAAUAGAGAUUUGAGAAAUUACAUGUGUAUUUAUAAACUACUCUAUGAACUCAAAACAAUUUGAUUUGAGUUUCAAAAUUUUUUAAAAUUAUAUGACAUAGAGAAAAGAAAGGAUAAAAACAUUUGGAUGUUAUAUCCAUUUUGUUUUGAAUAUGCCCCAUCAUCACAGCUAGCAAUUCUUAAUUGAUCAGUUGGGUUUUAAUUAACUGGAUCCUACACUAAAAUAUAUUUAUCCUGUGCUCUUUAUUAUGAAGUUCGAAUAUAUCUUUUGUUUUGAGUUAACAAACUAAGACUAAAUUCUAAUUUAUUUUGUGUUUUGCUCUAAUAAAAAAAAUGUAAGUUUAAAUUUAUAUUUCAGUAAUAAGCUUCGAUGGAGAGUUUGGUUCAAUGCAUAUUCAUUAAAUACUUCCCCAGACAAAUGGCAGAAAAAUGUGUUACAUGCAUAUCAUUCUGGACUUACUUUCAAGUGCUAACACCAACAAAUGGGAGAGAUUAGAAAAUGCUUGCGUAUGUUUUUUUUUUUCAAAAAUAAAAUAAAUUGAGCCCUUAUAUUGAAUUCAACCACUAUGAGGUCGUGAAUAUUAUAUGCAUCACUUUUGUAUAUGCUUUUCUUUUUAAUAUUUAAAGUGAUAAUCUAUUAUGGUGCUUGGUAAUUUUGCAGGGAGUUUUCAUAUUUUUGUAAUUAGAGGACUUGCGAGAGAUAGUGAAAUCCAAGAGGGUAGUGUUCUGGAAGCUAAAGUUGAGAUGUUCAAGAAGUUUUUAGAGACAAUAACGGAGAUGCCUACGUGGACGCGAGACGUUAGUAACCCCAAACGUGUGUAUUGACUGGGGGUUCACUUCGCGCGUAAUGUUUUCUUUGACCAUACGAAACGCUUGCAGUUUAAGGGAAACAAAACACUUCACAUUCCACCCACACCUCCUGAACCCUAUUGAUUAUUGCUCCUCUGUUCUUCGCGGUCGAGUAGAAAGGAAGAAGACGGAUUGAAGCGAGUUGGUGGUUGGGUGCUACCUACACACGAGAGCUUUGCCUCGUCUUGGUGGUUCUGAAAACUUCGAAACGGCACAGAGCGAAAAGGAACAGAAGCGGAAGAGAUGAGUCAUUUUAGUGUUAAAAUUUAUCACCAGGGGAUGUUUCGGCUUCAAGGAGGUACUGUUAGGUAUUUGGGUGGGGAGACGUCCAUUGUAGACUACUGUGAUGAGGAUGAAUGGAGUUUGAUUGAGGUGUAUGAAAUAGUGAGUAGACAGGGGUAUUUGAAGAAGGAUAUUGCUGCGAUGUGGUAUAAAGCUGCGAAUGCUGGGUUAGAGGACGGAUUGACCAUGCUUAAAACCGACAAAGAUGCAAUGGAUAUGGCAAGAAUUGGGGUAAAGGAUGACAUGGUUGAGGUGUAUGUUGUGCACAAGACAAGUGAGGUGGGAGAAGUUGUGCAACCUGGGCAACUUACUG